AUACGUAGGGGGCGAGCGUUGUCCGGAAUGAUUGGGCGUAAAGGGCGCGUAGGCGGCCCGGUAAGUCUGGAGUGAAAGUCCUGUUUUUAAGAUGGGAAUUGCUUUGGAUACUGUCGGGCUUGAGUGCAGGAGAGGUAAGUGGAACUCCCAGUAUAGCGGUGAAAUGCGUAGAGAUCGGGAGGAACACCAGUGGCGAAGGCGACUUACUGGACUGUAACUGACGCUGAGGCGCGAAAGUGUGGGGAGCAAACAGGAUUAGAUACCCUGGUAGUCCACACUGUAAACGAUGAAUGCUAGGUGUAGGGGGUAUCGACCCCUUCUGUGCCGCAGUCAACACAAUAAGCAUUCCGCCUGGGGAGUACGGCCGCAAGGUUGAAACUUAAAAGAAUUGACGGGG
rnacentral:rRNA from 1 species